rnacentral:rRNA from 1 species
GGGCGACGUGUCCGGAUUCCUGGGUGUAAGGGCCGCAGGCGGAUAAAUAAGUCGGUGGUGAAAUCCUUCAGCUUAACUGAAGAACUGCCUCCGAUACUGUUUAUCUUGAGUAUAGAAGAGGGCGAUGGAAUUCCAGGUGUAGCGGUGAAAUGCGUAGAUAUCUGGAAGAACACCGGUUGCGAAGGCUGUCGCCUGGUCUAUUACUGACGCUCAGGGACGAAAGCGUGGGGAUCAAACAGGAUUAGAUACCCUGGUAGUCCACGCUGUAAACGAUGGAUACUCGGUGUUGGCCCGUAAGGGUCGGUGCCUAAGCAAACGCAGUAAGUAUCCCACCUGGGAAGUACGAUCGCAAGGUUGAAACUCAAAGGAAUUGACGGGGGCCCGCACAAGCAGUGGAGCAUGUGGUUUAAUUCGAUGCAACGCGAAGAACCUUACCUAGGCUCGAAAGACUGGAUUAUCCAUCGAUGAAAGUCGGUGGCGCUUCGGCAAUCCAGACAGGUGCUGCAUGGCUGUCGUCAGCUCGUGUCGUGAGAUGUUGGGUUAAGUCCCGCAACGAGCGCAACCCUUGUCCUUAGUUGCCAGCAGGUAAUGCUGGGCACUCUAAGGAGACUGCCUACGCAAGUAGUGAGGAAGGUGGGGAUGACGUCAAGUCCUCAUGGCCCUUACGUCUAGGGCUACACACGUGCUACAAUGACCACUACAGAGGGAUGCAAUACCGUGAGGUGGAGCAAAUUCCAAAAAAGUGGCCUCAGUACAGAUUGGAGUCUGCAACUCGACUCCAUGAAGUUGGAAUUGCUAGUAAUCGCGGAUCAGCACGCCGCGGUGAAUACGUUCCCGGGCCUUGUACACACCGCCCGUCAAGCCAUGGAAGCUGGGGGUGCCCGAAGUCAGUGUGCUAACCGCAAGGAGGCAGCUGCCUAAGCAAACCAGUGACUGGGGCU